UUUGUCGUAUAAAAGGCGAGGUAGAGAAUUAUAGUGGGGGUGAGGCGGGAUUGAAAAAAAUUAGCGGUAUAUGGAAUGUGUGGUGAGUUUUGCGAGUUGAGGAGGUUUAUGUAGCCAUCAUAUGCCGCAAAACCAAUUAGAGUGGAUGUGUUUGUGUUUGGAGGAGGAGUAUUCGGGUUUUGAUCCAUAGUUGGUUGAUUUUUGUGUUUGUGUUUUGAGUGAUUUAGUAAAUAGAUAUAGAGAAAUAUAUGUGUANGUUUGUGUUUUGAGUGAUAUAGAAAUAGAGAUAGAUAUAGAGAAAUAUGUGUAGUAAAAAGAAUGAG
rnacentral:lncRNA from 1 species